UAGGGAAUAUUGCACAAUGGAGGAAACUCUGAUGCAGCCAUGCCGCGUGUGUGAAGAAGGCCCUAGGGUUGUAAAGCACUUUCAGCAGGGAGGAAUUAGCACGGUUAAUACCCGUGUGAAAUGACGUUACCUGCAGAAGAAGCACCGGCUAACUCCGUGCCAGCAGCCGCGGUAAUACGGAGGGUGCGAACGUUAAUCGGAAUUACUGGGCGUAAAGCGCGCGUAGGCGGUUCGUUAAGUGGGAUGUGAAAGCCCCGGGCUCAACCUGGGAACUGCAUUCCAAACUGACAAACUAGAGUACGAGAGAGGGGGGUAGAAUUCAGAGUGUAGCGGUGAAAUGCGUAGAUAUUCUGAGGAAUACCGGUGGCGAAGGCGGCCCCCUGGCUUGAUACUGACGCUCAGGUGCGAAAGCGUGGGGAGCAAACAGGAUUAGAUACCCCCGUAGUCC
rnacentral:rRNA from 1 species